GAUCCUGGCUCAGGAUGAACGCUGGCGGCGUGCCUAAUACAUGCAAGUCGAACGAGGUGCUUUUGUAGCAAUACGAAAGUAUCCUAGUGGCGAACGGGUGAGUAACGCGUUGGUGACCUACCCCAAAGUGUGGGAUAACAGUUCGAAAGAACUGCUAAUACCGCAUGUGGUUAUCGGAUUUAGAAACUGAUAACUAAAGGAGCAAUUCGCUUUGGGAGGGACCUGCGUCCCAUCAGCUAGUUGGUGAGGUAAUGGCUCACCAAGGCUACGACGGGUAGGGGACCUGAGAGGGUGACCCCCCACAAUGGAACUGAAACACGGUCCAUACACCUACGGGUGGCAGCAGUAGGGAAUAUUGCACAAUGGGCGAAAGCCUGAUGCAGCAACGCCGCGUGUGCGAUGAAGGCCCUCGGGUCGUAAAGCACUUUUCUGAGAGAUGA
rnacentral:rRNA from 1 species